rnacentral:rRNA from 1 species
UACAGAGGGGGCAAGCGUUGUUCGGAAUUACUGGGCGUAAAGGGCGCGUAGGCGGCCCGCUAAGUCGAACGUGAAAUCCCCGAGCUCAACUCGGGAACUGCGUCCGAUACUGGUGGGCUUGAAUCCGGGAGAGGGAUGCGGAAUUCCAGGUGUAGCGGUGAAAUGCGUAGAUAUCUGGAGGAACACCGGUGGCGAAGGCGGUUCUCUGGGCAUGUCCUGACGCUGAGGAGCGAAAGUGUGGGGAGCGAACAGG